rnacentral:rRNA from 1 species
GACGAACCGUGCGAACGUUGUUCGGAAUCACUGGGCUUAAAGGGCGCGUAGGCGGCAAAUCAAGUCCGGGGUGAAAGCCCUCAGCUCAACUGGGGAAGUGCCUUAGAUACUGGUUUGCUGGAGGGAGGUAGGGGUCGAGGGAACUUCUGGUGGAGCGGUGAAAUGCGUUGAUAUCAGAAGGAACGCCGGUGGCGAACGC